rnacentral:rRNA from 1 species
ACGGCUCAGUAACACGUGGACAACCUACCCUUGGGACGGGGAUAAACCCGGGAAACUGGGUAUAAUACCCGAUAGUUCUGGGAAGCUGGAAUGCUUCCAGGACGAAAGCUCCGGCGCCCAAGGAUGGGUCUGCGGCCUAUCAGGUAGUAGUGGGUGUAAUGUACCUACUAGCCUACGACGGGUACGGGUUGUGAGAGCAAGAGCCCGGAGAUGGAUUCUGAGACACGAAUCCAGGCCCUACGGGGUGCAGCAGGCGCGAAAACUUUACAAUGCUGGCAACAGCGAUAAGGGGACCUCGAGUGCCAGGAUACAAUCUUGGCUGUCGUAAUGCCUAAAAAGCAUUUCAUAGCAAGGGCCGGGCAAGACCGGUGCCAGCCGCCGCGGUAACACCGGCGGCUCGAGUGGUAACCGCUAUUAUUGGGUCUAAAGGGUCUGUAGCCGGCCGGAUAAGUCUUUUGGGAAAUCCAGCUGCUCAACAGUUGGGCUUUCAGAAGAUACUGUUCGGCUCGAGACCGGGAGAGGUGAGAGGUACUUCAGGGGUAGGGGUGAAAUCUUGUAAUCCUUGAAGGACCACCAGUGGCGAAGGCGUCUCACCAGAACGGAUCUGACGGCAAGGGACGAAAGCUAGGGGCACGAACCGGAUUAGAUACCCGGGUAGUCCUAGCCGUAAACGAUACUCGCUAGGUGUCAGCCACGGUGCGACCGUGGUUGGUGCCGUAGGGAAGCCGUGAAGCGAGCCACCUGGGAAGUACGGCCGCAAGGCUGAAACUUAAAGGAAUUGGCGGGGGAG